rnacentral:misc_RNA from 1 species
CUGCACCCUGGGAAUCAGAACAACUGUGCAAAGCCUCUCAUAUAUCAAGCAAAUGGAUGGUCAAAGGAAGUAGAAUCAUUCUUUGAUAUCCCUGUCCUUGGGUGUGGUACCCACAAUGAUGUUUGUGGAGACCUCGCUUCUGUAGGCUCCAGUCGCUUCACAAGGUUCAGAGUGGAUCAAAGUUACCGGAGCAGAGCUGCCGAUUUCGCAAGCGCAUGGCGACCCAUGAAUGCAGGCUGGGGUGUUUAUCAGGAUGCACUGGUGGUUAUCCUUGGUAGCAACCAGCUGAUGCCAGUUCCUCCUUGUUUGGUACCUCCCUCAUCCUCAAACCAGCUUCUGAUUGGGCAACUAAAAUGA